rnacentral:rRNA from 1 species
GACGAACGCUGGCGGCGUGCUUAACACAUGCAAGUCGAACGGAAAGGCCCUGCUGGUGUGGGGUGCUCGAGUGGCGAACGGGUGAGUAACACGUGAGUAACCUGCCCUUGACUUUGGGAUAACUUCAGGAAACUUGGGCUAAUACCGGAUAGGAGCUCCUGCUGCAUGGUGGGGGUUGGAAAGUUUCGGCGGUUGGGGAUGGACUCGCGGCUUAUCAGCUUGUUGGUGGGGUAGUGGCUUACCAAGGCUUUGACGGGUAGCCGGCAUGAGAGGGUGACCGGCCACAUUGGGACUGAGAUACGGCCCAGACUCCUACGGGAGGCAGCAGUGGGGAAUAUUGCACAAUGGGCGGAAGCCUGAUGCAGCAACGCCGCGUGCGGGAUGACGGCCUUCGGGUUGUAAACCGCUUUCGCCUGUGACGAAGCGUGAGUGACGGUAAUGGGUAAAGAAGCACCGGCUAACUACGUG